GUCCCUGUAGUAUAUUUAUUACCUUGGUCUUGUAAACCAAAAAAGGAGAACAAACAUUCUCCCAAGGACU
rnacentral:tRNA from 1 species